UACGAAGGGGGCUAGCGUUGCUCGGAAUCACUGGGCGUAAAGGGUGCGUAGGCGGGUCUUUAAGUCAGGGGUGAAAUCCUGGAGCUCAACUCCAGAACUGCCUUUGAUACUGAGGAUCUUGAGUUCGGGAGAGGUGAGUGGAACGGCGAGUGUAGAGGUGAAAUUCGUAGAUAUUCGCAAGAACACCAGUGGCGAAGGCGGCUCACUGGCCCGAUACUGACGCUGAGGCACGAAAGCGUGGGGAGCAAACAGG
rnacentral:rRNA from 1 species